UACAUGGGGUGCAAACGUUGCUCGGAAUUAUUGGGCGUAAAGGGUGCGUAGGCGGUUUGGUAAGUCUUAUGUGAAAUCUACAGGCUCAACUUGUAGUCUGCAUGAGAAACUGCCGGGCUUGAGUAUGGGAGAGGUGAGUGGAAUUCCUGGUGUAGCGGUGAAAUGCGUAGAUAUCAGGAGGAACACCUGUGGCGAAAGCGGCUCACUGGACCAUAACUGACGCUGAUGCACGAAAGCUAGGGGAGCAAACAGG
rnacentral:rRNA from 1 species